rnacentral:rRNA from 1 species
AUUGCCCCAGUAACGGCGUAGUGAAGCGGCAACAGCUUCAAAUUUGAAAUCUGGCCCCCCCGGGUCCGAGUUGUAAUUUGUAGAGGAUGCUUUUGGCGAGGUGCCUUCCGAGUUCCCUGGAACGGGACGCCAUAGAGGGUGAGAGCCCCGUCUGGUCGGACACCGAGCCUCUGUAAAGCUCCUUCGACGAGUCGAGUAGUUUGGGAAUGCUGCUCAAAAUGGGAGGUAUAUGUCUUCUAAAGCUAAAUAUUGGCCAGAGACCGAUAGCGCACAAGUAGAGUGAUCGAAAGAUGAAAAGCACUUUGAAAAGAGGGUUAAAAAGUACGUGAAAUUGUUGAAAGGGAAGCGCCUAUGACCAGACUUGGGCCCGGUGAAUCAUCCAGCGUUCUCGCUGGUGCACUUUGCCGGGCACAGGCCAGCAUCAGUUUGGCGCGGGGGACAAAGGCUUUGGGAAUGUGGCUCCCUCGGGAGUGUUAUAGCCCACUGCGCAAUACCCUGCGCCGGACUGAGGUACGCGCAUCGCAAGGAUGCUGGCGUAAUGGUCAUCAGCGACCCGUCUUGAAACACGGACCAAGGAGUCGUCUUCGUAUGCGAGUGUUCGGGUGUCAAACCCCUACGCGUAAUGAAAGUGAACGCAGGUGAGAGCUUCGGCGCAUCAUCGACCGAUCCUGAUGUUCUCGGAUGGAUUUGAGUAAGAGCAUACGGGGCCGGACCCGAAAGAAGGUGAACUAUGCCUGUAUAGGGUGAAGCCAAGAGGAAACWCUGGUGGAGGCUCGCAGCGGUUACUGACGUGCGAAUCGAUCGUCAAAUAUGGGCAUGGGGGGCGAAAGA